AUUGAACGCUGGCGGCAGGCCUAACACAUGCAAGUCGAACGAGUGGCGGACGGGUGAGUAAUGUCUGGGAAACUGCCCGAUGGAGGGGGAUCACUACUGGACACGGUAGCUAAUACCGCAUACCAUCGGAUGUGCCCAGAUGGGAUUGGCUAGUAGGUGGGGUAACGGCUCACCUAGGCGACGAUCCCUCGCUGGUCUGAGAGGAUGACCAGCCACACUGGAACUGAGACACGGACCAGAAGCCUACGGUAGGCAGCAGUGGGGAAUAGUGCACAAUGGGCGCAAGCCGGAUGCAGCCAUGCCGCGUGUAUGAAGAAGGCCUUCGGGUUGUAAAGUACUGUCAGCGAGGAGGCGUUACUCGCAGAAGAAGCACCGGCUAACUCCGUGCCAGCAGCCGCGGUAAUAC
rnacentral:rRNA from 1 species